rnacentral:rRNA from 1 species
AUGAUAAAAAUGGAAAAAAUUGCCAUCCUGGGGCGCGGAAGUUGGCGGAGGCAUGCAAGCCCUUCAGAGUCCUUAAAUGACUUGAUUCAGGCAUCGUACGAGUUAAUAGGUGUCUUCAUCUCUGGUAGAUCUUGCUUCGCUGUCCUCUUCUCAAGUAUCCUUGGACAAGUGCAGCUGGCCGCAAUCAUUGCUUGCAUUGUUUUGUCUUCAUUGCGUCUGAAAAGGCAAGAUUAUGUGGAUCAACAGAAUCAAGGGAACGAUGAUCAUAAGAACAUUAGGUGGUCUCUGAACAUCUUCUAUGCAUUAGUGCUCAGCCAAUGCAUUCUCUAUUUCCUGACUGGGAUACUGGCAAACCCGUUGAAACGGAUAUGUGUAGUCUGUAUGAAGUAUAAGCUAGGAAUUUGGGGGUUUCUAGCUCUUUCUCGCUAUCUACAGGCAUGCGUUUUGAAAUGCAUUAAUGGAGAUCUUCGUGAAGCAGUCAACAUGGACUUGGUUUCCUUUGCAAAGCAGUUGUUGAACUCUGACCCACUGGACGACCAGCUGUUGGGAAUUCGUAUUCUUGACCACCUCCUCAGAAGCAGGGAAGACCAAGAUGAACGCUACAAGGAAAAGGUGCUCACAAAGAUUCGAUCUUCUCUUGAUACCGUCGAGAAAGCAGUAUACAUGAUGGGCUUGGACAGAGAGGUGGAACAAGAUACCAGAGGGCACGCUGCGCGCAUACUGCUGGAGCUCGCACCUGGCCUUCAAGUCGAGAGCUUUCCUGGUAUUUUUCAGGCUAUUUCUUCACUGCUUAGCGCACGCAAGACAAAGACCAGCGGAAGCUCCAGCAAUUCAACCUGUGCGAGCAAAGAGCUCAAAUUGCUUGGUGUGGAUAUUCUCGACAAACUCCUGACUAAUCCAGAAAACUGUGCAGAGGUGAAGAAUGCCAAGAACCUGCUCUCCAAGAUCAUACACAUUACAAGCUGCCAGGAUGAAAAGCUAGACUCCGAUAUUGAUAAAAAGAUAGUCGAAAACUCACUAGAAGUCUUGAGCAAGCUUGUGAGCACAGUUGGUGAGACCGGCGAGGAGCUCAGGUGCCAAGUGUCCAGUAAUAUGUACACCAUAAGGAAUAUUGGCAAGUUCUUCAUAGAUCAUCCUGAAAGCCAACCAAAGAUGCUUGCUCAAGCAGCAGACAUCCUUGCAUGCCUAGCUUCAAAUGACACUGCGAGAAAGGAGAUAGAAAGGUCACACCUGAUCAUCCGGAAACUCAUCAGUCUCCUAGCUGAAGAAAUUGAUGACGUCCAAGUCCAAGAAAGCUCCGUGAGAGUGUCGGCAGCCGAAGCGUUGGUAUUGCUCACUGCUCCUACCAGAGAAAUUGGUGUGCUCAGUACAGUGAGUGAAAGGAGCAUCAAGCCAGUAUUGUCAGAAACUAAGCUUGAAGACAUGCAGCGAAUUGUCUCGCUGCUCUCUGAUGAGUCUGCAGAGCACAGAAUUAUGGUGACGAAAUUCCUGCAGAAUCUGCGGAGUUACCAGCGAGCAGAAUAUGGUGAUCAGCUGGAGAUAAUCAACAAAGCUCUACCAAAGGUAUUGGAAGCAAUCAAAAUUGCAUCGGAUAAAAUAGAAGGGACAGGUUGUGCUGAUGAACCUUCUGGUCAUGAAAUGGAGGCGCUGAUAACUGAACAAGGUAAGCUGCUGGAGAGCUUUAUUGGCCUGUGCAUGCAAAUUUGCAUCAGCGGGAAUGCAAAGCAGUUCACCGAUGCGCUGAGGAGUGCUGAGAUUACAGACGAUAUGUUCGUCCAGAUGCUUGCAAAGAUACUGGAAGUGUACAAGUCUCCAACUUCCGAUGCUCCAGGCAUAAGAAGGGCGGUGAUUCAACAAAUGAACUGGAUGAUGAAUGAGGACCAAGAGUACAUUAACAUUUUCCUGAAGCAUGAAAUGGAAAAUGCACUGAAAGAAGUAGCAGAGACGGCAUUGAAGCUUGAGAACUAUUGGUUCUUUCGUUUUGGCGUCAAAGCUUUUGAGCAUGAGGAAUCCAUUUAUUCUCUUCUCAGCAUUUCGCCACUACUGCAGGGCACAAUCGUGAGAACGCACCUACUAUAA